UACGUAGGCGGAAAAUUAAGUCAGUAGUGAAAUCCUGCAGCUUAACUGUAGAACUGUUAUUGAUACUGGUUUUCUUGAAUAUAGUUGAGGUAGGCGGAAUGUGUAAUGUAGCGGUGAAAUGCUUAGAUAUUACACAGAACACCGAUUGCGACGGCAGCUUACUAAGCUAUGAUUGACGCUGAGGUACGAAAGCGUGGGGAGCGAACAGGAUUAGAUACCCUGGUAGUCC
rnacentral:rRNA from 1 species